AUUGAACGCUGGCGGCAUGCUUUACACAUGCAAGUCGAACGGCAGCGCGGGCUUCGGCCUGGCGGCGAGUGGCGAACGGGUGAGUAAUACAUCGGAACGUGCCCAGUAGUGGGGGAUAGCUCGGCGAAAGCCGGAUUAAUACCGCAUACGACCUGAGGGUGAAAGCGGGGGAUCUUCGGACCUCGCGCUAUUGGAGCGGCCGAUGGCAGAUUAGCUAGUUGGUGGGGUAAAGGCCUACCAAGGCGACGAUCUGUAGCUGGUCUGAGAGGACGACCAGCCACACUGGGACUGAGACACGGCCCAGACUCCUACGGGAGGCAGCAGUGGGGAAUUUUGGACAAUGGGCGAAAGCCUGAUCCAGCAAUGCCGCGUGUGUGAUGAAGGCCUUCGGGUUGUAAAGCACUUAUGGCGGGAACGAAAAGGACUGUGCCAAUACCACGGUUCGAUGACGGUACCCGCAGAAUAAGCACCGGCUAACUACGUG
rnacentral:rRNA from 1 species